rnacentral:lncRNA from 1 species
GGCGAGCUCUGCACUACAUUUGAUACGGAUAACUGUGUGUCUGUUCGUAAGCAAACGUCCCUGAAAUGGUCUUAUCGCACAAUAACCAGUAGAGAUGAUUCAAUCUCGAACAAUUAUUGUUAAAAGGCUCCUGUAUGCCCACCUCUCUCUUUUCAGGAUUGUAUUGUAUGCAAUGGGUUUCUUUCUGACUAAGCUUCAUCAUGCUUGAUUUUCCCUAGCAGGUGGCAUAGGGGGUCUUUUUGAUCUCGGAUAGUCUUUUAUAUCGUGUAUUGCCUAAUUUUUAUUCUCUAAACGACUUAUAGUGGAAAAGUGAUGAACGACAAUACGUGCAAUUGUCACAGCGACAUUCCUGCCUCUCUCAUGCUGAUAAUCUGCCAUCUUGCUGCUGUUAUGAGUUGUGGAGGACCUAUUUCAAGGUGUCAAUCACAUAACUUUAUAAACUUGGUUAUUUAAAGUGUUGAAAACAAUGAGGAUGAAACACAUGUUUUGCUGUGUACGGGUACAGGAGCUGCAUGUGCAGAUAAGAACUUA